GGGGCCGUAGUCUAGCCUGGAAGGAUAAUAGUAGCGGUAUCCUGAGGCCAGGCUCGGGCCCUGGUUCCCCCUAUGGGGCAGGAAGGUCCCGGGUUCAAAUCCCGGCGGCCCCACCA
rnacentral:tRNA from 1 species